CCAGCCUGGAUCAUUUGUACUUUGCUUAAAGUUUUCUCUUAUGCCAAAGAAGACAAGUACCUCCAAAGUUUGAACGCUUCUACCAAGGUUAUUGCUGCCACCCUGGGGCGUGCACAUAAUCAUGACAUAACUGGACCCAGUCCUUCCAACCGAUUUAUAUAGAGGUUUGAGAAAUUGGCGAUAAACUGUCGACAUGAUUACGAUUCUUUACAAAGUUCUUUCAAACAUGGUAAUCCUCCUCCACGUUAUCAUUAUGAAAACAGAACAUUUCAUAACGUCAGCUAAAACGGUGUGCAAAAUGCACAUUGCACACCGUUAAUUCGCACACUGUUGAGGGAGAAGGAGAAGAGUCAUGGUGAUGGUGUGCAACGCUUUCUCACCUAUCUAAACCCUGUGUAACCCUUUCUUACCUAUCUAAACCCUGUGCAACGCUUUCUUACCUAUCUAAACCCUGUGUAACCCUUUCUCACCCAU